rnacentral:rRNA from 1 species
CCCUUAGAUGUCCUGGGCCGCACGCGUGCUACACUGACGCCUACAGCGAGUACUUCCCAGCCCCGAGAGGUGGCUGGUAAUCAGCAAUAGGCGUCGUGAUGGGGAUAGAUCUUUGGAAUUAUGGAUCUUGAACGAGGAAUGCCUAGUAAGCGCAGGUCAUUAGCCUGCGCUGAUUAAGUCCCUGCCCUUUGCACACACCGCCCGUCGCUCCUACCGAUUUCGAGUGGUCCGGUGAAUCUUUCGGACUGCGCGCGGCCUCGUGCCGUGUCGCGGAAAGUCAGGUAAACCUUAUCACUUAGAGGAAGGAGAAGUCGUANCA